AUUUUGAAAUUUUUAUUUUUACAUUUUUAUAUUUUCUAUAUUUUUGUACUUUUAUAUUUUUAAACGUUUUCUAUAAUUCUAUAUUCAAGUAAUAGUAAAUAUGAAAAGAAGAAUAAGAAAAGUGUGGAAUGGCAACGCAUGUAACGGUACGUGAAUGUUAUUCGCGUAUUUUUAUUUGUAUACGUAAUAUGUACUUUUUAAUACAUAUUACACAUUUAUUUCUCUUAUCUACGAUCUAGACCUACGUUUAGAUCGUCUAGAUCUAUGAUCUCAUCUAUUUAUCUUUUAUACAUAUGGUUUGAUAUAUUCGGUAUACCACAAUAAUAUAGGUUAAAUUAUAUAAAACAUAUCUGUUUCAUAUUAGAAUAACUUAAGCAAAAUCUUUAGUUAUAUAAGCAUAUAUAAAAUAUUUACCAUAAAUAAAUGUAGUAUCAGGGCCAAAAGGCCUAAGGUAUCGGCCGAACCGUAAACAAAGUACCGUUCAUCAUCAAUGUAUCGUUGGGUCUUUUUAAGUGGACAGUUUUCGUGGAAAGGACCUGCGUGACCUUGACCACGGGCGCUUCGGGAUACCUGUUCCGAAGGACGGAAAAAGGCAAAGAGACGUUAAGGAGAGUGUUAGUGGAGAUGUCGGAGUGGACGGAUGCCAAAUGUGUGCAGAGUGUGCAGAGUGUGCAGAGUGUGAGUUGAGAGGCGAGAGCGAGCGAGUGUGGAAGCGGAAGAGUAUGAAUUGGGAAGUCGAAAGCCGCCUGUGAGAAUAGGACGUACAACAGCAUUGUAAUCAUUUCGUUGCUUCGAAUAUCAUUUAUUAAAUCAAAACAUCAUUACUUGUCCUUUCCUCUAAGACCCAUUUAGAUACUACAUAAAUCAAUGGUCGAUCAAGUGUUACAUCUUUUGUAUUUGUACAUUAUCUUCUAUCAAAAUUUAACAGGUAAACUUUAUAAUUAUUUGUUUAGCAUUCAUUACUAACUGAUAUAUAUCCACAUUAUAGGCAUCUUUCAAUACGACGCACAUCUGACCAUGUGUGUGUUACGCAAAAUAAAAAAAAAAAAGAAAUCGAAGAUGAAAAUAGAAAAGAGAGAAUAAAGCAAUAAGUUAGAAAAAAUUUACCGAAUGUCCAACUGGACAAAUUAUAAAGUACAAAUUAAAUAAAUUAAAAAAAAAUAAUGCUCUUCUAAUCAGUUGUUUGCCGAGAAUUGACGGUAUAGAGUAUUUGUCUCUUAAAUUUCUGCGUGGUAAUAUCAAUCCUAUUUUAUUAAAUACAUUCAACGAAAUGUGUCGUAGCGUUACAUAUUACAAGUUACACAGUAUACUAACAUCUUCUUACGUGAAGCUAAACUAUUCUCAUUUCGUGGUAGAGCUAAUGUAUUUGCCAAACAAAAUCUCUUCAAAUGUAACUCUUUUAAAGAUCUAACUUUAAAAGAUCCUACCCUUAUGAAUCUUAUGCAUCGAUUUGCAAUUGACAACUAAAUUGUAAUAAAAGAACAUAAUGAACGAUUAAAACUAAAUUCGUAAUCUAAAAUAUUGUAUAACUGUUACGUUUUUUGAAUGUAGGUACACACACAUGUAAUAUCUAUUGCAUAUGCACACAUUUAUAUAUUUUAUUUUACAUAUUUUAACAUACUAUAUACACAUAAAAUUUCGCACUAUAAUAAUCGUUAUUUAUAGUAAUCGAUAUUAAAAUAGUUAUUAAAUAUUUGUUUAAUUAAUCCUAAAAUUGAAGUACAAUUAUGAAAAUGUUAACAAAAGAAUUGCGUUUAGAUUUCAUAAACAUAUCGCAAAGUGACCGAUUUACCCAGCGAUCGUACACAGGUCUCACUUAUAGUCCUGAAGCAGAACCAAUCAGCAAGCAACGCUACCUCACUGUCGUUAUUAUAUUACACUAGCGCAUCGUCAUAGAGUUUAGUACUCUUUAAUCUGUUGAGAUAAAUGUCAUGUUGGUAUGUUGCUACAUCCAGAGUUGGUGCCACUGCUUGCGUUUCUCGUCUGUUACUCCCCGUCCGCCACGUUUUUUUUAUCAGAUUAUCCGAUGUGUUGUAAGUGGCUUUAUAAGGUGGUGAAAUACAGAGCAUACGAAACUAAUCUGUGUGAAUCAAUAAAAUAUCAAACCCCAAAUCUAUGUAAUAACAUAAUCGCCUUUUGUAUUCGAGUCAAGGUAGAGUGUACAUCGUAUAAAAAUUUACUGAACGUUAUAAUUUUUUAAUUUACCAAGCAUUACUUGGUAAUGAGUACUAAGUGAACAAUUAAAUUUGAUUAGAAAUUUGAUCUGCACAGUUUCUGUAAAAAGAGAUUUAGCGAAGGAUGGAUGGGUAGUACAGUAACCGAAAAGGAAAUUAUUCUACAUGCAAAAUUCUGAACUGUUAUGACUGCAUGGAAACAAAGAAGUUCACAAAUGAAAUAUAGGGAAAUUUCAAGAGUUCUCGUUGCCAGAAAUUUAAGAUGAAUGGUUCUUAUGAUAUUCAGGCAAAGUGACUCCUGAGUAAGAUAAAACUUCAGAAAUUCUUCCCUAUGGUGCUUUGCUGAGACCUUUGGAUUUUAACUCGUAAACAAGUUGGCUUAAUGUGCGAUUUAUAAAUAUUUUCAUAGAACUGUCCGGUCAAUAAGGUUGUUUUCUUCCUGAAAGUACAAAUUGGCACGGUCGAAUUACGACUAAAUUCUUAGAACAUUCGGUGGAAGGACCGUUGGGAUAUCGACGACUCAUUAGGCACUUCGGCGAUAUACAUUGUCGCCAAGGCCGCCACAUCUUUAUCUCCAUCAUCGGUCCAUCGGAUUUGAAGGGUGCCGAUCGUGACAGGAACAUUGAAGCGGACAUCGUGGUGAAGAUGGCUGAGGAUGAUCGGUCGUGGCAGAAGUUCUCAGAGUUCUGUACGCGGGCGAUGGUCUUCAGGCAAAGGAAAGAAAAAGAGGUGGAGACGCGCGAUGGACGCUCCAGAGGAAUAGGAAGAGCAGGAAGAACGGUGUUAAGUACAUGAAGAUUGGUGUAGGGUACGUAGUGUAGAGGCCAACCUGAAGUAUUGUCGAAUGAUCGGGCCGGGUUGGAACCUCGAGUACCUUAGGAGUGAAAGGGGGAGGAGUUUUUAGUUUGUAUAGCAAUGACAUCUGCCGAGUUCCACAUAACCCACAUACAAAAUGGCAUGGGGUAUGCGUAAGUGCAUUUUCCUCUCCUCCGAAAAAAGUCCAAUUCGAGCAUAUUCACGUAGACAUUAUCGUAAUGCAGUAUUCGCAGGGCUAUGCCGGUUGCUUGGUGUCACCCACCUACGCAUGUCUGCCUAUCAUCCCGCGUCUAAUGGAAUAGUAGAUCGCUUACAUAGACAACUUAAAGCGGCGGUCAAGUGCCACGACACGAGCAACUGGAUCGAAAUUCUGCCGAUCGUUCUAUUAGGCAUCCGAACCGCGAUGAAGGAGGAUCUAAAUGUAACGAUAGCUGAAAUGAUCUACAGCACUGGCAUAUGAUUGCCGGUGAAGUUCUUUUUGGCAACUAAUCAGCGGACCAACUCAGAAUUCACGAACCUGCUAAAAGAACGGAUGGAGAAAGUCAGGCCACAGCCUGUGAUACAACAUGGCGAAAAACAAAUAUUCGUUUUUGGAACGCGAAUUGGAAUCCUCGCCGUACGUAUUCUUACGACAUGACGCGAUUAGAGGCCCUCUACAGCCGCUUUACGACUGGCCGUUUAAAGUAACGCGAAGAGGCCAAAGCCAGCCUUUAUAGUAUCAGAGGACCUUGAAGCAAAAACCGCGGAAACCCGUAACGUGCUUAUUCUGGUAGAACAUACGAACGCCCGCAACAAAAGCGGUGCAACUAUACCAAAUCAAAAUAACGGAGAAAACACUAACAAUAGGUACGUUACGGGGUCUGGGCGAAGAGUACGUUUUCCCGAUUGUGUACAGGUAGGUUUCGGUUAAGCAUCGUAAAUUAUCGGACACGGAAUAUACCACGAAAAUUUUAAAAACAGCGACUUUCAAGGUAAACACGUGAUAAGAAUAACACAAUAAAAACGUUGUCACUGGUAGAGGGGUAAUAUAGCGACGCAGGAGUCAAAGGACGACGCAAAUCGAGUCAUUAUCUGCGAGUAUCACGAGUAUCUACCGAGUUAUGCGACGAGCAUUAACGAGUAUUUAUUCGCGAUUUGAUUUUGCGAUUUAUACCUUGUAUAAAUUACAUAUACAUUCGUAUACAUAUAAAUUACAUAUACGUUCGUAUACAUUACAUAUACUGUACAUUAAUUUAUUAUUUUAAAUAUACUCAACGGUUUCAACAACGCGCAAUUUCGUCCUUUAAACCUCACGUACCAACUAUUCUCUACACAUAAACAUCUACACGUGUGUCUUGCAUUAUAUAACGCUCGAUAGAUUUAUGCAAAGUUUUUGUUAAGUUUCUACAAACAUUUAAUUAAUAAAUGAGUUAAUUUUUUAAUUUUUGAACCUUAGAGGUUUUUAUCUAACACGUGUUUAUGUGGAAGUCAUUCGAUCACGUGUGUUUGUACAAUAAUAUUAUUGUUUGUAUAAUAUUAUUCGCAUAUAUUUCACUAGGAUGUAGUAUAAUGCAUUUUCUAAUAACAAAGCACUACAUGUUUUAAAAUAACAAAGUACUGCUUGGUUCGAAACAAAGUAUGACUAUGUAUAUUGAAACAAUACAGCACCAAGAACAUCGGAAAACCAUAAUAAUAUACAUUGCCGGAUAACUUAGAGCUACAUCCUUGCGUGCAAAACGUAUACGUGCAAUAUUAAUUUUAAGACACGAAUAUACGAUUACUACAAGUUCCACUCUAACAUAUUUUGAUUUUAAACAACGCUAUAUCGCAGCUGCUCUUUUGAAAAUUAACAAUAAAUUUAUUUCCAUGAUAUAUUAAUCCCUCUGCGUUCUCAAAUCUCAAUUUUAUAGCGUUCAAUAAUAUUCACGAUUGCAAAUGAUUUCGUCAAUAAUUUUUGUAAACAUCGAUCUAACUUAACGUAGAGACUAAUGACAUCGCCUAGUUUACAAACAAUUACACACUUUUCCUUUUAAUUUGUUGAUUGAAUUGCUGGA